AGGCGUCUCCGCCGCGCCUGGGGGCGUACGCAAAUUGCGUACGCGUGUCCGCCGCGCCUAGGUGCCGUUUUGCGCAGAGAGAGCGGCCGCGGCAGACACACUCAAGAUGUCGACCGCGGGGAGCCACACUCAAGAUGGCAGCCGUGCCAAAGCGGCCUCCCCAUUGGCUGGCCUUGACGCACUCAAUAUGGCGGGCACGCGCGCACAAGCAGGCUUCCUAUUGGCUGCCGGGACGCACAGCUCUGGCCGUCGCGGGCGCCACAGUCAAGAUGGCGGCCGCGCGGAAGCUGCCUGCCUGUGAGCUGCCGUGACACGCGGAGCCCUAACCAGGCUCCCUCUUUUGGUGCUGAUGAUGACAGAGUCUGCAUGGACUUGAAUAGAAUUCAGAAGGGUGCUGUGGCUGUUUGUGCCAUCGAUGCAUCUGGCUGCUUCACAGCAGAGGUGGCUGACUUGGCUGGACAGUAUGUGAAGGAUGCAGAUAAGAACAUCACUAAAGUACUGAAAGAGAAAGGCAGACUGGUUCACAGCAGUAGUUUUAAGCACAGCUCUCCUUUCUACUGGAGUAUGUGACCUUGCCUGAGUUGCCUGCUGUUGUGAUCUUCAAAGAUGGAGCUUCCUUUGUUUCUGAUGGUGCCAAAAAGGAGAGCUUCUUCACCUGCUUCUCCGGUGCAAGCUCUUCUGUCUGUCUGUUGAGAUGUUUCUGCCUGUUUAUCUGGCAGAGAAGUGUUUGCUUUUUUGGCUGGCGAGCUGACCAUCCGUGCUACCGUCGCCUUGAAUGCCUCCAACCAGCAGUGUUUGCUGCCAGACAGACACCUUGAGAAGACAGAGGACAUGGUUAAGUUCAUGAACAAUAUCUUGGAUGGUGCUGCUGAAUGAUCUGUUGUAGCAGAAGGAAGCUGUGGCUGCCUGAGCCUGAGACUCAACAUCUGGAAAAGUUGGGAGUUACCCUGGAUGCCUGUGAGGGUAAAGGGAUCUGAUACACAUCUUAGGGCAAUGUGUGUAAGUAUCUGCAGCAUUCCUGAAAACUUGGUGCUAGUUAAAGCAGAGAGAGCAGUACUGGAUGGUUUGUGCUGAGGGCCACGAGGAUGAUCAGAGGGUGGGAGCAGGUCUGCUAUGAGGACAGACUGAAAGAGUUGGGGCUGUGCAAGCUGGAGAAGAGGAGGCUCCAAGGUGGCCUUCUUGUGGCCUUCCAGUAUCUGAAGCCCCCUGUGGCCUACAAAAAAACUGGGGAGGAACUUCAUAGGCUAUCAGAUAGUGCCAGGACUAGGGGGAAUGGAGCAAAGCUGGAGGUGGGGAGAUUCAGACUGGACGUGUGGAGGAAGUUGUUGAGCAUGAGAGUGGCGAGAGCCUGUAAUGGGUUGCCCAGGGAGAUGGUUGAGGCCCCAUCCCUGGAGGUGUUUAAGGCCAGGCUGGAUGAGGCUCUGGCCAGCCUGCUCUAGGGUAGGGUGUCCCUGCCCAUGGCAGGGGGUUGGAACUGGAUGAUUUUUGUGGUCCCUUUCAGCCCUGACUGAUUCUCUCUGCUAUCCAGCUGCAUUCUGCAAUCCCUCUAAGAACAGAUGCUGGCUUUGUAGAAUGUCUCUGUAGGAGGUGUGAAAGGAAUUGGGAGUCUCAUCUGCCUGGACACAGAAACUCUGCUGUCUUUCACAUGGCAGGGGAAUGAUGAUGCAGCAGAGGAGCAGGUAUACAAGAGUGGUAUUGGGGUGUAAAAGAGACUUAGAAAUGCCCCCCCCCCAUCUCCUCUAUGAUAUGUAAAGGCUUCUAGAAAAUAAAACCAACUCCUAGGUAGAAUUAUGAAAUAUAACUUGUGUAUAUGUAAAUUGAAACCAGUGGAUUUUCCUUUGUGUGUCUUGGGUGUUUGGAAAGUGCUUGCCAGCAGGAGUGGGAAAUAAUGCUCAUUAAACUUGAAAAUGAAGUUUCAGCUUGCCCAGCUGCCUCUCAGCAUUGCUGUCCCUACUACAGAGGGGUGGGCAGGCUGCAUCCCUCUCUGGAGGAAGGGAGGGGUGGCUUGCUGUGCUUCAGAGCCUACAAAGAGGGGACUCUUGGACUGAGAUGACCUUCAACAGCAGGACAGCUGCGCAGCAGUGCUGCACACCUUGCAGUUUGUACUUAGCAGCAGGUCUGGCAGCCCUGUGCUAUGCCUUAUGCCUUAUCCCCAGAAGGGAUUUGCUAGGUGAAUUGUUCACGUUCUUUCCCCAUGUCUCAGUUUCCCUGACUAGAAAAUGAGUCAUGAAAGGGCAAACUGCUGUGCUAUGCUCCAGCAAAGAGCAAAGGCUGCUCACCCUCCAGAGCAAAACCGCCAGCCCAUCACUGCCUUGCAUACACUUCUGUCACCAGCUCCUCCUCAGCCCGCUGGGCUUUUUGUCACUCAGCAGGCAUUGGGGCUUGUUUUGUCUGCUGCGUUCCCUCAGCACCCCCACCCACCUACUUCUUCCUGACUGCUGCAUAAUGGGCCUGAAAACACAGACCUGAAAUGCACAUCUGACAUUGAAUUUGGACAUGAGAGUUUAAUGAGGCUGUGGCGGUUCUGCCACUCACAGCCUCCACAUCCUGCCCCUUACACUCGCAUUUCCUUAAUGACAUGUGUCCCCACCACACCUGUGUGAGUGCACACUUAACAUGCACGUGCUCCCCAACAUCACCCACCCUUGCUCCCAGCUGCUCUCUGCAGGGGUGUUGGACAAGAUGAACUUGGAGGGUUCCUUCCAACCCGAUGCAGUCUGUGAUUCUGCAGACUGCUCUCUCUCUCUGUGCCUCCUCCCAGGGUGCUGAGGCCAUAGGGCAGAUGCGACCGAUAGAGAUUCUCCACAUCUAGUAAAUCAAAAACCUUCUGUGCUAGUUUGAAGCAAGCUAGAAUGUCUUGGUGAGAAGAACUACAUCAUAGGCUGUGAAAGGGAAACAAUGGUGUUGUCUACGCCCCUCAGAGUCUUGCUGAAGAAGAAACGAAAACAUUAGAUAACACUCUCUGCCUUGGGCUUCUGACUGAGCUGCAUCUCCCUAACCUCACCUUCCAUUUGGACUAACCCACCUUUGCUUCAUAACCUCUUGGCUGAACCUCUGUUCUUCUUUAGGACUGGGGUAAGGUUGAGAGGGGCAGGGAGAAGGUGUGGCGGUGGUUGAGAGUCCCUCCUGGGGACUCAGGUUUCUGAGAGGGGAGUUGUGCUUCUGUAUCACCUUUUACCUUGUAUAUUUCUGUAUAUAAUUGUAUAUACUGUAAAUAUCUGCUUGUGUAUUGUGCUAGCUGUAAAUAAAUAGCUUCAUUUAUAUUCCCAGA